UACGUAGGGGGCGAGCGUUAAUCGGAAUUACUGGGCGUAAAGCGUGCGCAGGCGGUCUUUUAAGCCAGAGGUGAAAUCCCCGGGCUUAACCUGGGAACUGCGUUUGGAACUGGAAGGCUAGAGUGCGGCAGAGGGAGGUGGAAUUCCACGUGUAGCAGUGAAAUGCGUAGAGAUGUGGAGGAACACCGAUGGCGAAGGCAGCCCCCUGGGACAGUACUGACGCUCAUGCACGAAAGCGUGGGGAGCAAACAGG
rnacentral:rRNA from 1 species